AGGAAGCUGCCCUUUGCAGAAUAUGGGGAGUCUACUGGUGAACCCCCAUUGAAGGUGAGGGUGAGGAACGAUUACACCAUCGUUCCAUCAGACAGCAGCGCCCUGAACCCACCUUGCGCCAGUGAAGAGGAGCCUGAGGCCCGUAAAGAACCAAGCAGUAGAAAGCGCAGAAUGACAGAAGCCUUGGACAAUGAACCACCAAAAAAGAGACGCAUUCUGGACUCGAUGGCUUGCAGCUACUAUGAGUGCUAUUGCUGGAACUUGUGAAGAGAGGGAAGUUCCCAGUGAUACAGGCUCUGUAGGUGGACACUGAUGAAGAGGAAGUCUUCAGCAUUGGGGACUCCAGGUCAACUGAAACAAUGAUCUAUUUUUUGAAAUGCACUUACUGCUUUUUCACACUGUCAGUAUUAUAGCUGGU